UACGAAGGGGGCGAGCGUUGUUCGGAAUCACUGGGCGUAAAGAGUGCGUAGGCGGUUAUGAAAGUUAGAAGUGAAAGCCCAGGGCUCAACCUUGGAAUUGCUUUUAAAACUACAUAACUCGAAUUCGGGAGAGGAUAGCGGAAUUGUCAGUGUAGCAGUGAAAUGCGUAGAUAUUGACAGGAACACCAGUGGCGUAAGCGGCUAUCUGGACCGACAUUGACGCUGAGGCACGAAAGCGUGGGGAU
rnacentral:rRNA from 1 species